rnacentral:misc_RNA from 1 species
UUUCCGAAGGUGAACCUGCGGAAGGAUCAUUAAUGAGUUGUCAUGGGGUUCGAUGCUGGCAGCCAAUUUUUGGAUGCAUGUGCUUGCCCUAACAAUCAUCUUCCAAACACCUGUGCACAUUUUUGAGGGAGUCUUGAGUUGGUUGCCGCUCUUGGGUGAUUUUCUCACAUUCCCUUAAAUCAUUAUACGCUAUUAACAAUGUUGAACGUGCUCUGUGCCGCAAGGCUAUUAAUAUAAUACAACUUUUAACAACGGAUCUCUUGGCUCUC